rfam:Cylindrobasidium torrendii FP15055 ss-10 unplaced genomic scaffold CYLTOscaffold_64, whole genome shotgun sequence.
GGCGAGAUGGCCGAGCGGUCUAAGGCGCCAGACUAAGGAGAGGACCAACUCGCUCUUGCGAGUCUCACAAUCUGGUCCGAAAGGGCGUGGGUUCGAAUCCCACUCUCGUCA